UACGUAGGGUGCAAGGGUUGUCCGGAAUUAUUGGGCGUAAAGAGCUCGUAGGCGGUUUGUCGCGUCUGCUGUGAAAAUCCAGGGCUUAACCCUGGACCUGCAGUGGGUACGGGCAGACUAGAGUGCGGUAGGGGAGAUCGGAAUUCCUGGUGUAGCGGUGAAAUGCGCAGAUAUCAGGAGGAACACCGGUGGCGAAGGCGGAUCUCUGGGCCGUAACUGACGCUGAGGAGCGAAAGCAUGGGGAGCGAACAGG
rnacentral:rRNA from 1 species